rnacentral:misc_RNA from 1 species
GAUGAAGAACGUAGUGAAAUGCGAUACGUAAUGUGAAUUGCAGAAUUCAGUGAAUCAUCGAAUCUUUGAACGCAUAUUGCGCUCUUUGGUAUUCCGAAGAGCAUGCUUGUUUGAGUAUCAGUAAACACCUCAAAGUCUUUUUUUCUUGAAGAAAAAGACCUUGGACUUGAGCAAUCCCAACUCUUCUUUCAGAAGAGGCGGGUUGCUUGAAAUGCAGGUGCAGCUGGACAUUCUCCUGAGCUAAAAGCAUAUUCAUUUAGUCCCGUCAAACGGAUUAUUACUUUUGCUGCAGCUAACAUAAAGGGAGUUUGACCAUUUUGGCUGACUGAUGCAGGAAUUUCACAAGAGUCUUCAAAACGCUCUUGUUAAACUCGAUCUCAAAUCAAGUAAGACUACCCGCUGAACUUAAGCAUAUCAAAAGCGGAGGA